UACGUAGGGGGCAAGCGUUGUCCGGAAUCAUUGGGCGUAAAGCGUGCGUAGGCGGCCCGGUAAGUCCGCUCUGAAAGUCCAGGGCUUAACCCUGGAAAGCGGGUGGAUACUGCCGGGCUUGAAUCCGGAAGAGGCGAGUGGAAUUCCUGGUGUAGCGGUGGAAUGCGCAGAUAUCAGGAGGAACACCAAUAGCGAAGGCAGCUCGCUGGGACGGUAUUGACGCUAAGGCGCGAAAGCGUGGGGAGAAAACAGG
rnacentral:rRNA from 1 species